GACGAACGCUGGCGGCGUGCUUAACACAUGCAAGUCGAACGGAAAGGCCCGGCUUUUGCGGGGCUCUCGAUUGCCGAACGCGUGUGUAACACGUGAGUAACCUCCCCCUGACUUUGGGGUAACUUCUGGAAACUGGGGCUCAUACCGGAUAUGAUCUCCUGCUCCAUGUGGGGGGUUGGAAAGUUUCGGCGGUUCGGGCUGGACUCGCUGCUUAUCAGCUUGUUGGUCGGGUAGUGGCUUACCACGGCUUUGACGGGUAGCCUGCCUUGGAGGGUGACCGGCCACAAUGCGACUGAGGUACGCCCCAGAAGCCAACGGUAGGCAGUAGUCGGGAGUAUUACGGAACGGGCGGAAGCCUGAGGCAGAAGUGCCGGGAUCGGAAUAACGGGCUUCGGGUUAUAAACCGCUUUCGACGGUAACGAGCAGUGCGUGACGGUAAUGGGUAAAGAAGCAACGGCUAACUACGUG
rnacentral:rRNA from 1 species